UAUUUCCUUCAUCACUAAUAUUUCCUUCAUCACUUUGAGGAAAUCCAAAACCUAAUAGUUCAUCUCCUGGUAAUUUGCUCUUGCUAUUGGUGAUUUACUCUUCCUCAAAAAUACUGGCUCAACCCUCUCACUCUCCUUCCUAGAAAAACCCUAGAAUCCAAAUUUCACAGUCAAAUUCAUACAAAUUCCAUAUUGAUUCUGAAAUUCCAUUUCAAUUAUAUAAAAAAUGGCAUCGGAUAUUGAGGAGGUGGAAUCAAUAAAUGUUGAAUCAUCAUUGUCUUCGACGACGGUUAACGGUGCGUCGAGGAGGAGAAUUUAAGGAACUAUGUGUAUACUGCAGUUGGAUGCCGUGUGCGAUUUUGAGUGCUUCUUUAGCUAUUUUCUCUUUGUUUUUUGGGCAGAUGAAUGCUUUACCUAUUUCUUCUGAUUUAGGGUAUUUAUUUUUGCAGCUUUCUUGGUUUCGUAGGUAUGUAUAUGAAUUCUUUCUUUCACUACAUAAGCAAGCAUUAAUGUUUUCUCUUCCAUUUAUUCUUCAAAUUCUGAGAUUACCUUCUGAAAAAACAAAAAAACAAAAAAUCUGAGAUUAUCCUUACUUAUGUGGUGACAAAUUCGAGAAUGACAAGUUUUUGCUAAAACAAUUUACCUUAUAUGGUUUGGGAAAGUUGAGAAUUUGUCGGGUCUAUUUUUUUUUUUUUUUUUUUUUUUUUUUUUUUUUUUUGGAAUGAGAUCUUGUUUAUACCCAUCAAUUGAUGAUACUAAUUGUGCAAUUUUGCUUAAAAAUCUUUUUUUUGCUGAACAUUGUUGGGUAUAAGAGAUUAUCUUUCGGAUUGUAGUCUAUUCAGGUGUUGGCUUAUAUACUUACAAAAUGUCUCGCAUAAGGUAUCCAUGUAGGUAGCAUCCACCUAUAUCAGUUGACUCAAGUCAAACUAGGGACUGAAAUAUUUUUCUGCAGUGGAUGGAUUAUAAAAAAAUGGCUAAAAUAAGAAUGCCACAUUUUCUUCCCAAAAAGUUAAUUAAACACUUUCAGAUGAACAUCUAAAUGAAAUAUAAAUUGCAAUAGUAUUUCAAUGAUGUUAGGAGUUUCUCAUGUGGUGUUUAACUUUCUAUAAGAUUGUCAGUGAAAAAAUAUUGGAGCUACACACAUAUUACCCUUGUGCUUUUGACUUCAUAAAUGUAAUGCCUUAUUUUUAAGCUCAUAUGUUAUCAAGAAUCAUGCCUCUUGCAUUAAGAAAUACCCAAUAAGUAGCUUUCUGAACAUUGAGACCUUUUAAUGUUUAUGUUGUUUUAUGUGUUAGAUAUAGUUUGCUGAACUUUUGACUGGUAUAUUAAAUAGCACAGAGCAUGUAACAAAAAAAUCACAAACAACCCAGUGCUUGUAAUGACAAGAUGAUAGGAUGAAAUUAAUGGCUUCAAUUCGUAAAAGGAUAUUAUAUCUGUGAUCAUCACCAUCGUUUCUUACUAUGGAUACAGUUAGAACAACUCACAUAUAUUUUCUUUGAGACAAAUUAAACAACAAUUAUAUAGGUUGCCUCUAUUUCAUGUAGCUACCACAAGAUUUAGUUGUAUACUUGUAUUACUCAAGCAUUUAUAGUUUAGAACAUUAUUUUCUUCCUAACUAUUGUAAAUUCUUAAUUCUUUGUUAUUAACUUUUCUGUAUAAAUCCGUUACUAUGAAGUCAUCAAUAAACAUUUUUCCUCUUAUUUCUUCCCAAUAAGAUGAAGUUAUCAUAUCCUUAUCAGGAGUAAGUGGAGCAGCUUAACUUUUUUAAAAUUUGCUAAGUCGAUGGAAAAGGUAAUUUCUCCCGUGUUUACUGCACAAAAUUGCAAUGUGAAAUACUUCGAAGUUCAAGAGUCAUUUUUUCUAGUUGUAACAUAGAUUUUGCCUAACAUUGUCCAAUUUGAUAGAUUUUCUAUUAUGAUCCUGAGAUGGAUAGUGAACCAAUGUACUUUCAUGACGCCUUUCUUUGUAGUCAAGCUUUGGAGGGCAUAUCGAUAUGUAUGGUAUGUAAAUACAUGUUAAUUGUAAUUCUCAGCUUUUAUUGGAUGCAAUUUUAAUGAAAUUUUACUUUACCUAAUCUAAAACAACAAUAAUGGCAAAGUGUUUUAACUCCUGCUUCGCAUUCUUUAUAUGCAUUAUGUAAUCCUUUGAGAUAAUGUCUUUGACAUUGUGUUAGAAUGACGAGUUGAUGAUUCAUAUUGCGGAAAAUGAUAUUGAAAAUUUGGCCGAUAGUUUUUUUUUCUUUUAUAAAAAAAAAAAACUCCGAAGCUCGUUUUAUUUUAGCAAAUUUGCUAUUUGAUUUAAGUGGUAGUUUCAUUAACUUUCUUUGGCUAUACUGACCAUUGUAUCUCUUCUCAGCAACUAUGAUAAAAAUUAUUAAAGAAAUGUUGCCCCCACACGUUCGUGUUGCCCGAGAUGCUCAGAAUCUUUUGAUUGAAUAUCGUGUAGGGUGUUUAUUUUCACAAAUUCUCUUGGUUUGCCAGGUGUGUAUAUGAAAUCUCUAUCGUCUGUGAUCCAGGUAAUUCACUUAUAUUGCUUUUUUUUGUAACUUCGUUGUUAAUUGGGUUACAACUAUAAGUGCUGCGAAAUGUUUAACAUUCGGAUUCCAUGACCUAUUAUGAGGUACUGUAACACUAAAAACCGAAAAAAUUAAUCUUUUUCAAGAAUUACUAAGUCCAUGAGUAAGGUAAUUUCACUUGUGUGUAUUGUAUAAAAUUGCAGUUUGAGAUACUUUGAGUUUGAGGUAGGAGUGGGCAUAAAAACUGAAAAAUCAAACUUUAAAAAUAACUAGUUUUCACUUUUCUAAACUGGAUCGAUGCAUAUUUUUUACUUCAAGAAACAACUUCAAAGGAUUAAUGUUGAAUCAAUGAUUAAUCAUUAAGUGGUAUCCUUAUUCGUCACAGGUAGUGCUAAAUACCUAUACAUAUCUCAGAAGUCAGAACCAUCGUCAAAGGAUUAAUCAUUAAGCGGUGUCCUUUUUCUUUUUCCGUUGAAGCUGGUUGUUCCCCAUUGAAGCUGGUGGUAUACUAUGUCCUUUCAUGGUGCUAAACUAUUAGUUUUCUUUUUAAUUUUUCCCUUAUGACAUGAAUUAAGAUAAACACAGGGUAAGUAGUCAUAUGCUUUCAUCUGAUAUUUCUUUUUAAGGUUUGAUGUUAGAUUUCUCCUUAAGCUAAUGUACGUACUAUUUGGCUUAUGUCAGCUAAAUGAAUUAUAUAAUACAUGAGCUUGAACACAUAAUAUUACAUUUAAAGCUUGAAGUUUGGUGCAGAAUUGAAAAUUAUUUAAAGUUGUUCAGAAUGUUCUUUUAAUGCCAACAAAAUUCUUCCAAUGCUGAAGAACAUUUUGUCUUGCUAAAGAAUUUUGUUUUAAGGUUAUUACUGGUGUCUAAAUGUAUGAGCUGGUUACAUUUGAAGGUAAUGAUUUAUUUUUUUGGUUCUAUUGUGGUCAUGAGAACAGAGGGAUUAUUUGUCUAAUGCUUGAGUUGGUUACAUUUGCAGGAGAACGACCAAUACAGUGAAGAACAUACCAAGGUAGUACCAAUGUGUUCAUAUUUUCGGUUUAGUUUCUCUAUUUGCCAUUUAUUUUUCUUGAAUGGGUGAAGUCCAUUUAACAUAUGAAUUCCAUUUAGCUCCUAUGUGAUAAGGUAGUUUGGCAAUAAUGGUUAAUUAUUUAAAACGAAAAAAAUCUGGUAGCUAUAGUUUUGUUAAAUAGUGCAUUUUCUCAUUUUGCUGUAAGGUGGGUUUGUCGGGUGAUGAAAUUACUAGAGCUGCAGCAUAACUCAUUGUAUGUCACAAAUUUUGUGGUGGAACUUGAAAAUUAGUGCCCCUAUGCCAAAGGAAACUUUGUCAUUGAAAGUCACCUGUGAACAGCAACUGAUAAUGAAAAUGCUUGUUCUUAUUGUACAAAAAUGGUUCCUUUGAUGCUUAUUCCUCUUUUGCUCCGUUUUUACUGAAUGGUGAUCAAAUUUAGUUAAUAAGUUUUGUCCUUCCGUGUUGCAGUUGGUUAUCUAACCAUCUUAUUUCUACCAUGAUGAAUGGUGACAUCAGUUAAGUGUUUUGUUGUUUGAAAAGUUGAGUUCUGUAUUUCUAUAUCAAAUUUGCUUGGCUUAAAAGGCUUCAGGGGUGGGGAUGUUCAAGUUGUUCAUUUGAGGUGAAUGUCCAAUGUUAUAGCUUGUUCCAAUAUUAGGAUAUAUGCAUAGAGUAUGGACUCAUGGGGUUGUGCACCAGAUGGGUGUUACUGUAGCUUCUAAAGUUCCUCAAUCCUAAGGCUAAUGUUAUCCUUUUUAAUGAUGAGGUAAACUGAGAUAAUUCUCGGUUACAGAAUUUUCCUCAAAGUGUUAUUUUUAUCACAUGCUUAUGCCUUAUGGUAUGUAGUUGAUCCCAGAAGACAUUUAUCAAACUGCACAUAAACUUCAUGUCCGAGCUCUCAGGUUAGACCUUAAAGUAUCUUUUGUAUUCACUGUUGGAUGACUGUAAAUGGAUAAGUAUGAAAAUGUCGUGCUUUUGUGAAUUUGUCAAUAUAGGUAAAUGAACGCAUUUGUGCAUCUGAAUUGAAAUGUGAAAGGGCCUUAUCUUGUUAUGUUGUUUGGUUUUUGAAUUAUAAUUACCCUGAAAAGCCGAGCAGUAUCAAACUGAGCAUACAUUCAUGAAAUAGAAGUGAUGACUUCGAUGGUUAAAUCAUGUUACCAUAUAUUUGUACAAUUUGAAAGGAUUAUUAUUUUACGGUUAAGCUUUUUGAAUCCGAGGGUCUAUUGGAAACAGCCUCUCUACCUCCAAAGGUAGGGGUAAGGUCCGCAUACACUCUAUUCUCCCCGGACUCCACUUGUGGGAUUACCUUGGGUAUGUUGUUGUUGGUUAAACUUCUUUGAGGUCAAGUUUAACAUAUCAGUGUGGUUUGUUGAAAAAAGUUAAAUCUGGUUUUCAAUUUAUUCUCUAUUUAGUUUGAUAAUUGAUAAAGACAAUUUUGUUUUGCCAGAAGAUAAAUUCAAGUCGUUUAUUUGACAUCUAACUUUUUGUUGUUUAUAUUCUUGCAGCUCCUUUUAUAUUGAUGUUUUGACUUUGAAGGGCAUUAGUUACACUCAAUAGAAUGUGUUAGGUAUUGAAGUGUUUGGUUAAUAAGUGAAGUUGCAGGAAAAUAAGACUUUGAUACAAGUUAACAAGAUUCUUGUCAUUUUCUUUUAGUGUUGUUAGGUGAAUAAUUAUAACUCUUUUGUAACAGAUGUUAGAUUUCUUGAAGGAUUGUGUGAACAGUACAAUGACUUAUAUUAUUGUUAUAUAAUUUUGCUAAUGGGGUUUAUUUCUAAACCUUGUUAUGUGAA